rnacentral:tRNA from 1 species
GGUAAAAUGGCUGAAUAUAGGCAAUAAAUUGUAAAUUUAUUUAUGAAUUAGAUUCUUUUAUCA